UACGGAAAGCAAGUCCUGAGCUUGGUGGU
rnacentral:piRNA from 1 species